CAGGUCCUAUGGAGGAGGAAGCAGAGACUCUGCUCUCCUCGUUUGGAUUAAUUCUGAUAUAAUAACUGUUGGUUUAUUUAUCGGUGCAGCAGCAGAACAUUUUCCAUAGACAGUUUUCCUGCCCGUUGGCUUGUUUUAACCAGUUUUCUGUCUUCGGCUGAUUCUACCAGCAGACACUGAAAGGACUCUGAUAGUUCGAGUGAAAGUAGCAGUUCCUCCUGAAGGUCAGAGAUUGCAGCAUCUGAGGGCCUCUUCAAAAGAAGAUGUAGCUGAUGAAGGUAUUCUGGAGCAGGACCAGAAAGACCACGACCAAGCAGCCUUGAGAUCUUAGGCAGCAUCUCCCUCAGGUCCCUCUCUAUCUCCUCACACAUCCACCAACCACUGGAACACAUCUCCAAAGUUCUGCCGGGCCAGCUCAGCUUCCCCUCAGAAGAAGUGGCGCCACCUGCCAGAUGAAGGAGCCUUUUGAGAGGCAGCUGGCAUCGUGAUUGGACUGUACUUUGGUCUGUUCCAAUCCAGCUUCAGCUCCAGAGACGGCAGGCGCGACGAGUCAACGGAGGCCUGGUGGACGAAGGCAUGCAGCUGAGUACAAUCCAGAAAACAACAGAGGAGGAGUGCAGCAGCCCAGAGCCAGAACAACCAGAGUAGCAUCAUAUGUCUCUUAGAAAACAUCAUAGUAGAGCCUUUGGUAUGAAAAAACACCAUCAUAUACAUCGGAUAUUGUACAAAUAAAAAGUCAAAGGAAAGAGACAUACAUUGUAGAAUUGUAGUAAUUGUGGGCUGACUGAUUUACUGAUUAUCAGUAUUUUAUUUUUUACUGAUUUACGGUAAUAAAUACAUUUAAAAAUGGCGCUACUUUGGCUCUGAACCUUUAUCU
ensembl:lncRNA